rnacentral:rRNA from 1 species
CCUACGGGGGGCUGCAGUGGGGAAUUUUGGACAAUGGGCGCAAGCCUGAUCCAGCUAUUCCGCGUGUGGGAUGACGGCCCUCGGGUUGUAAACCACUUUAGUAGAGAACGAAAAGGAGCUAUCGAAUAAAUAGCUCUGCUGACGGUACUCUAAGAAUAAGCACCGGCUAACUACGUGCCAGCAGCCGCGGUAAUACGUAGGGUGCGAGCGUUAAUCGGAAUUACUGGGCGUAAAGGGUGUGCAGGCGGCUGAGUAAGACAGAUGUGAAAUCCCCGGGCUUAACCUGGGAACCGCAUAUGUGACUGGUUGGCUAGAGUGCGUCAGAGGGAGGUGGAAUUCCACGUGGAGCAGUGAAAUGCGUAGAUAGGUGGAAGAACACCGAUGGCGAAGGCAGCCUACUGGACGGUGACUGACGCUGAGGCUCGAAAGCGUGGGGAGCAAACAGGAUUAGAUACCCGAGUAGUC